rnacentral:lncRNA from 1 species
AAGCGGUCGAAUCGAAAACGGGUGGCGGUCGCGGGCAGUUUGAAUUGGCCUCUGUGCUCCAGCUCACGGAGGCUGGACAAGGACUCGCCUUUGAGAGGGGUUGUUUGCCCUCUCCCGCCAGCAAGUUUAUUUAUAAAUGUUUGAGUAAUAAAGAAAGGAGAGCAAAAUGAGCUGGGCUUUGGAAGAAUGGAAGGAAGGCCUGCCUACAAGAGCUCUUCAGAAGAUUCAAGAGCUUGAAGGCCAGCUCGACAAACUGAAGAAAGAAAGGCAGCAAAGGCAGUUUCAGCUUGAGACCCUGGAGGCUGCGUUGCAGAAGCAAAAACAGAAGAUUGAGAAUGAAAAAACUGAGGGUGCAAACCUGAAAAGGGAGAACCAAAGCUUGAUGGAAAUAUGUGAAAAUCUGGAGAAGACGAAGCAGAAGAUUUCUCAUGAACUUCAAGUCAAAGAGUCACAAGUGAAUUUCCAAGAAGGUCAACUGAACUCGAGCAAAAAGCAAAUAGAAAAGCUGGAACAGGAACUUAAAAGGUGUAAAUCUGAACUUGAAAGAAGCCAGCAAGCGGCACAAUCUGCGGAUGUCUCUCUGAAUUCAUGCCUUACACCACAGAAAAUUUUUGCAACUCCGCUCACACCAAGCCAGUAUUAUAGCGGUUCCAAAUAUGAAGAUCUAAAAGAGAAAUAUAAUAAAGAAGUUGAAGAACGAAAAAGAUUAGAGGCAGAGGUAAAAGCCUUGCAGGCAAAGAAAGCAAGCCAGGCUAUUCCCCAAAGCACCAUGAAUCACCGGGACAUCGCCCGACAUCAGGCUUCUUCAUCUGUGUUCUCAUGGCAACAAGAAAAAACCCCAAGCCGUCUUUCAUCUAACACUCUAAAAACUCCAGUUAGGAGAGAUUUCUCUGCAUCUCAUUUUUCUGGGGAACAAGAAGUGACUCCAAGUAGAUCAACUUUGCAAAUAGGGAAAACAGAUGCUAAUAGCAGUUUCUGUGAUAAUUCUAGCAAUUCUCAUCUUUUGGAUCAGUUAAAAGCACAGAACCAAGAACUAAGGAGCAAGAUUAGUGAGCUGGAACUACGUCUGCAAGGACAAGAAAAAGAAAUGAAAGGCCAAGUGAAUAAACUUCAAGAACUCCAACUCCAACUGGAGAAAGCAAAAGUGGAAUUAAACGAAAAAGAGAAAGUUUUGAACAAAACCCGGGAUGAACUAGUGAGAACAACUUCACAGUAUGACCAGGCCUCAACCAAGUGUACUGCUUUGGAACAAAAAUUGAAAAAAUUGACUGAAGAUCUUAGUUGUCAGCGUCAAAAUGCAGAAAGUGCCAGAUGUUCUCUGGAACAGAAAAUCAAGGAGAAAGAAAAAGAGUUCCAAGAGGAGCUCUCCCGUCAACAGCGUUCCUUCCAAACCCUGGACCAGGAGUGCACUCAGAUGAAAGCCAGGCUCACCCAGGAGCUACAGCAAGCUAAGAACACAUACAACAUCCUACAGGCUGAACUGGAUAAAGUCACGUCUGUAAAGCACCAGGUAGAAAAAAAAUUGGAAGAGUUUAAGCAAAAUCUCAGCAAAACUGAACAGGCCUUACAGGCAAGUCAGACCAAGGAAAAUGAGCUGAGGAGAAGCAGUGAGGAAAUGAAGAGGGAAAACAGCCUCCUCAAGAGUCAGUCUGAGCAGAGGGCCCGAGAAGUCUGCCACCUGGAGGAGGAACUGAAGAAGGCCAAGCAGUGUUUGAGUCAGAGCCAGAAUUUUGCGGAAGAAAUGAAGGCUAAGAACACCUCUCAGGAAACCAUGUUAAGAGAUCUUCAAGAAAAGAUAAAUCAGCAAGAGAAUUCCUUGACUUUAGAGAAACUGAAGCUUGCCUUGGCUGACCUGGAAAAGCAGCGAGAUUGUUCUCAAGACCUAUUAAAGAAAAGGGAACACCACAUUGAACAACUGAACGAAAAGUUAAGCAAAACAGAGAGAGAAUCUGAAGCAUUGUUGAGCGCUUUGGAAUUAAAGAAGAAAGAAUAUGAAGAAUUGAAAGAAGAGAAAACUCUGUUUUCUCGCUGGAAAAGGGAAAACGAACAACUUUUAAAUCAGAUGGAAUCAGAAAAGGAAAGCUUGCAGAGUAAAGUUAAUCACUUGGAAACUUGUCUUAAGACACAGCAAAUAAAAAGUCACGAAUAUAACGAGAGGGUAAGAACCCUGGAGAUGGAAAGAGAAAAUCUAAACGUGGAGAUCAGGAACCUUCAAAAUGUGAUCGACAGCAAGACCGCAGAGGCAGAGACACAGAAACGCGCUUAUGGAGAACUGCAACAGAAAGCUGAGUUCUCAGAUCAGAAACACGAGAAGGAGAUAGAAAACAUGUGUUUGAAAAUCUCUCACCUCACCGGGCAAGUGGAAGACCUAGAACAUAAGCUUCAGUUACUGUCAAGUGAAAUCAUGGACAAAGACCAGCGUUACCAAGACUUGCAUGCUGAAUAUGAGAGUCUCAGGGAUCUGCUAAAAUCCAGAGAUUCCUCUGCAGUGACAGUUGAGCCUCAUCAGAGAAGUCGUUUGGCUUUUGAACAGCAGUCUGCACUGAACAAUUCCUUUGCAAGUAUAAUUGGAGAGCAAGAAAGCGUGUCUUCAGAAAGGAGUGGAUGCCAUGUAGCAACAGACCAAAGUCCGGAAAGUUCAUCCAUGUUGCAAAAUAGAGUCGUUUCUCUUGAAUUUUCCUUAGAGUCGCAAAAGCAGAUGAACUCAGAUCUGCAGAAGCAGUGUGAAGAGUUGGUGCAAAUCAAAGGAGAAAUUGAAGAAAACCUCAUGAAAGCAGAACAGAUGCAUCAAAGUUUUGUGGCUGAAACAAGUCAACGCAUUAGUAAGUUACAAGAAGACACUUCUGUUCAUCAGAAUGUUGUUACUGAAACUUUAGCUGCCCUGGAGAGCAAGGAAAGAGAGUUGCAAUUUUUGAAUGAAAAAUUAGAAACUGAGCAGGCAGAGAUUGGAGAGUUAAAAAAGAACAACCAUUUACUUCAGGAAUCUCUAAAGGAGCUACAGUUUUUGUCUGAAACCCUGAGCUUGGAGAAAAAGGAACUGAAUUCCAUCAUUUCUCUAAAUAAAAAGGACAUUGAAGGGUUGACCCAAGAGAAUGGGACUCUCAAGGAAAUUAAUGCCACCUUAACUCGAGAGAAGAUGAACUUGCUCCAAAAAACUGAGAGUUUUUCAAACUGUAUAGAUGAAAGAGAUAAAAGCAUUUCAGAGUUAUCUAAUCAGUACAAACAAGAAAGGCUUACUUUACUACAAAGAUGUGAAGAAACAGGAAAUGCAUUUCAGGAUCUGAGUGAAAAAUAUAAAGCAGUUCAGGAAAAGAACUCUAAAUUAGAAUGCUUGCUGAGUGAGUGCACGGGUGUUUGUGAAGACAGAAAAAAUGAAUUAGGACAGCUAAAGGAAACAUUUGCAAGGGAACACCAAGCAUUUGUAUCGCAGUUAGCAUCAGCUGAAGACAGAAACCAGAAUUUAAUUCUGGAGUUGGAGACGGUGCAGCAAGCCCUGCAGUCUGAGAUUACAGAUAUCCAAAACAGCUCCAAGAGGGAGGCUGAUGGUUUAAAGCAAGAAAUCAUGAAGUUAAAGGAAGAGCAAAAUAAGAUGCAGCAGGAAGUUAAUGCCUUAUUACAAGAGAAUGAGCACCUGAUGGAAUUAAUGAGGACAAAACAUGAACAUCAAUGUCUAGAAUUGGAACCAAUUCAAGACUCUGAGAAAGAAGGAGAGAGGGAGAUAAACACAUGUCAUGUUCAACUUCCGAUGGAUCUUGAUGUUAAAGAUUCUUCUCUAGACACUUACAAAGCACAGCUGGUGCAAGUAGAAUCUGAAGUCAGAAACAUGGAAUUAAGACUUCAGAAGAGUGAGAAGGAAGAGUGUCUACAGCACGAAUUACCAGCUAGAGAAUUAGAAACUGAAGAUUUGCAACAAGAUACUCAGUCACAAGAUAUUAGUAGCCUUGGAGACUCUGAAAUAGAUCGAGAAGAAAAAUAUAUUUCGGUGCUUCAUGAGUUGUCAACAAGUCAGCAGGACAAUGCCCACCUGCAGUGCUCUCUACAGACAGCCAUGAACAAGCUGAAUGAGUUAGAGAAAAUGUGUGAAGCCCUGCAGGUUGAAAAGUCUGAACUCAUAUCUGAGCUGAAUGACUCAAGAUCAGAAUGUAUCACAGCAACUAGUAAAAUGGCGGAAGAGGUAGGGAAACUAGUAAAGGAAGUUGAAACAUUAAAUGAUGAGAAUGGACUUCUCCAAGGUGAGUCAGUGGAAGAAACACCAGAAGGUGAAUUUGGUGUACAACAAGAUGAGCAGACAUCUGUGAACUUAAAUCCUUUGGAUGACUGUAAUUUCUAUGAGCAUUUGACCAUGUCAAACAAAGAGGUUCAAAUGCACUUCGCUGAAUUACAGGAGAAAUUUUCAUCUUUACAGAGUGAACACAAAAUUUUACAUGAACAGCACUGUCUGAUGAGCUCCAAGAUGUCAGAGCUGCAGUCUUACGUUGACACAUUAAAGGCUGAAAAUUCAGUCUUGUCGAUGAGUCUGAGGAGCGCUCAAGGUGACCUGGUAAAGGAGGUGACACCAGCGCCCGGGGAGGAGCAUUCACUGUCCUUGUCAUUCUCUUGUGUGACUGACAGCCCUGGUAACGCAAGUUUGGGAGAAUCCUCUUUUUACAAAGAUCUUUUAGAGCACACAACAGAAACGUCCCUCUUGAAUAAUUUAGAAGGGACUGUUUCAGCAAACCAGUCCAGUGUAGAGGAAGUCUCUUGCAGUAGUCUGGAGGAGGAGAAUCUGACCGAGAAAGAGAUCCCCUCUGUCCCACUGAGGAGCACUCGAGAACUUGAGACCCUCUGUCAGACGUACCUCCAGUCCCUCAAGCACCUGGAAGAGGAAAUUGAAAGUCAAGGGCAUACGAAAAACAAGGAAAUCGAAGAGCUCAAGGAGUUGCUGAGUUCUUCGAGGGAGGAGCUCGACUACCUCAGGAAGCAGUACUUGUCAGAAAACGAACAGUGGCAGCAGAAGCUGACAGAUGUGACAGCGGAGAUGGAGUCCAAGUUGGCGGCUGAAAAGAGACACACGGAGCACCUCACACUUGAGCUCGAAGUGGCGCGGCUCCAGCUGCAGGGUCUGGACUUAAGCUCUCGGUCGCUGCUUGGCACCGACAUAGAAGAUGCUAUUCCGGGUGGAAACGAUAGCUGUGACAUAAGAGAAUCAGAAGAAUAUACUUCAGAACCUAAAGAGAGGACCCCAAAGCAUGAGAUUCACCAGAGAGAAGAAAGUUCAGGAGGUCUCACUCCUAGCUUAGAAAUGGUCACAAGCAAAUUGCCACAUGAAGAUAUUGAAGAUGAUGUAGCCAAGGUGACUGACAACUGGAGAGAGAAAUGUCUCCAGGUGGAAAAUGAACUACAGAGGAUUCAAUCUGAGAAAGAUAGCAUGGAGCAUCACACCCUCUCUGCGGAAGCCAGCUUAGAGGCAGUUCAAACAGAGAAACUAUAUUUAGAAAAAGACAAUGAAAAUAAACAAACAGUUAUAACCUGUCUUGAGGAAGGACUCUCUGUGGUCACAAGUGAGAGAGAUCAGCUUCGUGGAGAGUUAGAUACUUUGUCAAAAGAAAAUCAAGAGCUAGAUCAGAUGUCUGAAAAGAUGAAGGAGAAAAUACGGGAGCUUGAAUCUCAUCAACGUGAGUGUCUGCAUCUCCAAGAGCAGCUUCAGAGUUUGGAAAAGGACUCACAGGCACUGUCUCUGGUAAGAAGUGAAUUGGAAAAACAAAUUGAACAACUGAAUAAAGAGAAAGACUCACUUGUAUGGGAAUCCGAAAGCCUGCAGACCAAACUGAGUGAAUCGGAGAAUGAAAAGCUGGCCAUCACCAAGGCUUUGGAGACUGCACUGAUGGAGAAGGGUGAGGUCGCAGUGAGGCUGAGCUCCACGCAAGAGGAAGUGCACCAGUUGAGAAAAGGCAUUGAGAAACUCAGGGUCCGCAUUGAGGCUGAUGAAAAGAAGCAGCUCCAUGUCUCAGAAAAACUGAAAGCAAGCGAGCGGAGGAAUGACUCGCUUCAGGACAAGGUUGAGACCCUUGAAAGGGAGUUGCAGAUGGCAGAAGAAAACCAGGAGCUGGUGAUUCUUGAUGCUGAGAAUUGCAAAGCAGAGGUGGAGACCCUAAAAACACAAAUAGAACUGAUGACUGAACGCCUGAAAGAUUUAGAGUCAGACCUUGUCACAAUACGGACUGAAAAAGAAAAUCUUGUGAAACAGCUACAAGAAAAACAAGGUCAGGCGUCUGAGUUAGAUACGCUGCUCUCUUCAUUGAAAAACCUAUUAGAAGAAAAGGAGCGAGAGAAAAUACAGAUGAAAGAAGAAUCUAAAGCUGCAGUGGAGAUGCUGCAAACACAAUUGAGAGAGCUAAGUGAGGAAGUAGCAGCCUUAUGUGAUGACCAGGAGACCUGGAAGGUCAAAGAACAGAGUCUGGACUCUCCUGCCCAGGAGGUACAACAGCUGAGAAAUAACAUUGAAAAGCUGAAACUCCACUUGGACAUUGAUAAAAAGCAGCAGCUCCAUAUCCUAGAAAAACUGAAGGAAAGUGAGCAUCAGGCAGAUUUGCUUAAGGAUACAGUUGAGAACCUUGAAAGAGAACUCAAGCUAUCAGGAGAAAACCAAGAGCAUGUGACUCUUGAGGCUGAGAAGUCCAAAGCAGAAGUAGAGACCCUGAAAGCAACAGCGGAGGAGAUGGACCAAAAUCUGAGAGGUUUGCAAUUAGAUCUUGUCAAUAUAAGAUCAGAAAAAGAAGAUCUGACUAAAGAAUUACUGAAAGAGCAGAGUCGAGUGUCUGAAUUACAAACAUUAAAUUCUUCAUUUGAAAACCUAUUGCGAGAAAAAGAGCAAGAAAAAGUACAGAUGCAGGAAGAAUCUAAAGCUGCAGUGGAGAUGCUGCAGACACAACUGAAAGAGCUAAGUGAGGAAGUAGCAACCUUGUAUGUUGACCAGGAGACCUGGAAGGUUGAAGAACAGAGUCUGGACUCCCCAGUUGAGGAGGUACAACAGCUGAGAAAUAACCUUGGAAAGCUGAAAGUCUGCUUAGAUGCUGAUAAAAAGCAGCAGCUCUGUAUCUUAGAAAAACUGAAGGAAAGUCAGCAUCAGGCAGAUUUCCUUAAGGAUACAGUUGAGAACCUUGAAAGAGAACUCGAGCUAUCAGGAAAAAACCAAGAGCAUGUGACUCUUGAGGCUGAGAAGUCCAAAGCAGAAGUGGAGACCCUGAAAACAACAAUGCAGGAGAUGGACCAAAAUCUGAGAGGUUUGCAAUUAGAUCUUGUCAAUAUAAGAUCAGAAAAAGAAGAUCUGAGUAAAGAAUUACAAAAAGAGCAGAGUCGAGUGUCUGAAUUAGAAACAUUAAAUUCUUCAUUUGAAAAUAUGUUGCGGGAAAAAGAGCAAGAAAAAGUACAGAUGCAGGAAGAAUCUAAAGCUGCAGUGGAGAUGCUGCAAAAAGAAUUAGAAGAGCUAAACGAGAAAAUGGCAGCCUUGGGUAAUGACCAAGAGACCUGGAAGGUCAAAGAACAGAGCCUGAGUAGUCAGGUAGAUUCCCUUGAACAUGAGAAGGCUCAGCUGCUGCAGGGCCUUGAUGAUGCCAAAAGUAAUUACAUGAUUUUGCAGUCUUCUGUGAAUGACCUCAUUCAAAAAGUUGAAGAUGGCAAACAGAAACUAGAGAAAAAGGAUGAAGAAAUCAGCAUACUAAAAAGUCAGACUCGGGACCAAGAGCAGCUUGUCUCUAAACUGUCCCAGAUGGAAGGAGAACAGCAACUUUGGAAGAAGCAAAAGGCAGACCUGGAAAAUCUGAUGGUGGAAUUGGAGCAGAAGAUUCAGGUGCUGCAAUCCAAAAAUGAUGCUUUACAGGACACCUUAGAAGCUCUGCAGAAUUCUUACAGGAAUCUGGAGAAAGAGCUUGAAUUGACAAAUUUGGAAAAAACGUCCUUUGUUGAAAAAGUAAACACAAUGACUGUGAAGGAAACUGAGCUUCAGAAGGAAAUGCAUGCAAUGAUACAAAAAACGGCGGAACUGAAAGAAGAAUUUAGUGGGGAGAAAAACAGGCUAACGGAAGAAUUAAAUUUAAUGUUGGAAGAAGUAAAAAGCAGCAAAGGUCAACUGAAUGAGCUCAUGCUAGAAAAUAGUGAAUUGAAGAAGAGUUUGGAUUGUGUACACAAAGACCAUAUGGAAGAACAAGGGAAAAUGAGAGGAGAAAUAGCUGAAUAUCAGCUACGGCUUCAGGAAGCUGAAAACAAACAUCAGGCUUUGCUUCUGGAUACAAACAAACAGCAUGAAAUGGAAAUCCAGACAUAUCGAGAGAAACUGACUUCUAAAGAGGAAUGUCUCAGCUCACAGAAGGUGGAGAUAGACCUCUUAAAGUCCAGUAAAGAAGAACUCAAUAAUUCUUUGAAAGCGACCACUGAGAUUUUAGAAGAAUUGAAGAAAACCAAGAUGGAAAAUCUAAAACAUGCAGAUAAAUUGAAGAAGGAAAACGAUCGUGCCCAGAGUAAAAUAAAGUUGUUGAUGAAAUCCUGUAAACAGCUGGAAGAGGAAAAGGUGAUGUUGCAGAAAGAACUGUCUCAUCUUGAAGCUGCACAGGAGAAACAGAGAGCAGAUACCGUUGUAGAUGCUAAUGUCGACGAAUUAAUAACUGAAAUGAAAGAACUGAAAGAAUCCCUUGAAGAAAAAACCAAGGAGGCAGACGAAUACCUGGAUAAAUACUGUUCCCUGCUUAUAAGCCAUGAGAAGUUAGAGAAAGCCAAAGAGAUGUUAGAAACACAAGUUGCUCGUUUGAGUUCACAACAAUCUAAACUUAAUCUUCGGAGUUCUCCUUUGGUGAAUUCGGUUGCUCCAGGACCAUCCCCAGUCCCUUCUGCCACUGAAAAGAAGUUACCAUCUGGCCAAAAUAAAUCUUCAGGCAAAAGGCAAAGGUCCAGUGGGAUUCGGGAAGAUGGGGGAGAAACCACACCCUCUACACCAGAGACAUUUUCCAAAAAAAGCAGGAAAGCCAUCAAAAGUGGUACUCACCCUCCAGAGGAUGCAGAAGAUGCUGAAUUUGAGCCAGAGGGGCUUCCAGAAGUUGUAAAGAAAGGGUUUGCCGAUAUCCCAACCGGAAAGACUAGCCCGUACAUCCUGCGGAGGACAACCAUGGCAACCAGGACCAGCCCCCGCCUUGCUGCCCAGAAGUUAGCAGCAUCCCCGCUAAGUCUCGACAAAGAAAAUCUCACCGAGACCUCCAAACCAACAGCUGGUGGCAGCAGAUCCCAAAAGGUCAAGGUUUCUCAGCAGAGCCCAGUGGAUUCAGGCACUACCUUCCGAGAUCCCACUGCCAGAUCUCUCUCCAUCAGUAAUCUUCCUGAGAGAAGUCCAGCGGGCAGCCCCAGGGAGGGCCUGAGAGCCAAGCGAGGCCACCACGCCCCCAGCCCAGAAGCCAGCCUGCAGUCCAAGGGCAGUGAGAACUGUAGGGUCCAGUAGAAGAGCCCGUGUGUGUCAGGACUCCUGGAAGGUGGCAGUUGUUGAACAGAAAGCAGUGUGACUGCGCUUGUCUUUAUUCAUCAGCAAGCACUGUACCAGAGGGAAGAAAACAACUCCUUUUGAACAGAAAUAUAUUGACUAUUUAGAUCCCCCCGUAGAAGAAUUAGAAAAGUUUGGAAGCACUGAUUACCGCUACAUUGAUAUUCCUCUUCUGUAAUGUAAAAUAGUCCUGUAUAAAGCAUUUUGGCAAUGUUACACUUAAAUGGCAAGCACUAUAUUACAACUCCUGUUUUUAUGUGGAUUUUACACUAAAAAAUGCAAGUAACAUUUUUUUUGCUUGCAAUGGACAGCUCCCAGGAAAAUGUAAACUUUUGCUUUAUGACAUUUCUUUUGUAUAAUGUUAGACAUGGAAUAAUUUUAGAUCAAGAAUUCCUUUGAGUUGAGUAAAAUGAAGGAAACCCUGUUACAUGUUUUUCAGGAAAACAUGCACGCAGAUACAUGUGUGG